GACGUAGGGCGCAAGCGUUGUCCGGAAUUAUUGGGCGUAAAGAGCUCGUAGGCGGCUUGUUGCGUCGACUGUGAAAACCCGUGGCUCAACCAUGUGGUCUGCAGUCGAUACGGGCAGGCUAGAAUUCGGUAGGGGAGACUGGAAUUCCUGGUGUAGCGGUGAAAUGCGCAGAUAUCAGGGAGGAACGAGCCGGUGGCGGAAGGCGGG
rnacentral:rRNA from 1 species